rnacentral:lncRNA from 1 species
UAAAAACCAAACCCAUGAAGAUCAUCAAGUGUUUGGGGCCAUCCUUUUGUACCCAGAGUGACUUGGUUUCUCUCAUUCUGCCCCAGGACAAAUGCAUAAGCCACCUAUUCAACUGAACAAAAAUGAAGCUGAGAGCUCCAAGCCUGAAGAGGGCACUGUCUCCUGCAGGGCCUCACCCACAGCAUGCUAUUAAAAACCCCACUCUGCGUCACAGACACCCUUUGGUAAGAAUGAAAAUAUCCUUCAGAUGAGCCCCCUCACUUCAAAUUGGCUGGAGUUGUUGCUGGACUUGGAGCCAUGCCUCUGAAAGAUUCUUCACCAUGUCAUGCUGAGACUCUGAUGAAUUAUUGAAACAGGUGGGAGUCCCCCUCCAAC